rnacentral:piRNA from 1 species
UCCAUUUAGCUGAGCUCUGCUCAAUUGG